rnacentral:rRNA from 2 species
GCUAUACAUGCAAGUCGUACGCUUCUUUUUCCACCGGAGCUUGCUCCACCGGAAAAAGAGGAGUGGCGAACGGGUGAGUAACACGUGGGUAACCUGCCCAUCAGAAGGGGAUAACACUUGGAAACAGGUGCUAAUACCGUAUAACAAUCGAAACCGCAUGGUUUUGAUUUGAAAGGCGCUUUCGGGUGUCGCUGAUGGAUGGACCCGCGGUGCAUUAGCUAGUUGGUGAGGUAACGGCUCACCAAGGCCACGAUGCAUAGCCGACCUGAGAGGGUGAUCGGCCACAUUGGGACUGAGACACGGCCCAAACUCCUACGGGAGGCAGCAGUAGGGAAUCUUCGGCAAUGGACGAAAGUCUGACCGAGCAACGCCGCGUGAGUGAAGAAGGUUUUCGGAUCGUAAAACUCUGUUGUUAGAGAAGAACAAGGAUGAGAGUAACUGUUCAUCCCUUGACGGUAUCUAACCAGAAAGCCACGGCUAACUACGUGCCAGCAGCCGCGGUAAUACGUAGGUGGCAAGCGUUGUCCGGAUUUAUUGGGCGUAAAGCGAGCGCAGGCGGUUUCUUAAGUCUGAUGUGAAAGCCCCCGGCUCAACCGGGGAGGGUCAUUGGAAACUGGGAGACUUGAGUGCAGAAGAGGAGAGUGGAAUUCCAUGUGUAGCGGUGAAAUGCGUAGAUAUAUGGAGGAACACCAGUGGCGAAGGCGGCUCUCUGGUCUGUAACUGACGCUGAGGCUCGAAAGCGUGGGG